rnacentral:rRNA from 1 species
UGGGGAAUAUUGGGCAAUGGACGAAAGUCUGACCCAGCGACGCCGCGUGAGGGAUGAAGGCCUUCGGGUUGUAAACCUCUUUCAGCAGGGAAGAAGCGAAAGUGACGGUACCUGCAGAAGAAGCACCGGCUAACUAUGUGCCAGCAGCCGCGGUAAUACGGAGGGUGCAAGCGUUGUUCGGAAUUACUGGGCGUAAAGAGUGUCAAGGUGGAUCUGCAAGUCAGAUGUGAAAUCCCCCGGCUUAACUGGGGAGGGUCGUUUGAAACUGCAGAUCUUGAGUGUCGGAGAGGUGAGCGGAAUUCCCAGUGUAGAGGUGAAAUUCGUAGAGAUUGGGAGGAACAUCAGAGGCGAAAGCGGCUCACUGGCCGAUUACUGACACUGCCACACGAAAGCGUGGGGAGCAAACAGG